rnacentral:rRNA from 1 species
GUGUCAGCCGCCGCGGUAAGACAGAGGAGGCAAGCGUUAUCCGGAAUUAUUGGGCGUAAAGGGUCCGCAGGUGGCAGUUCAAGUCUGCAGUCAAAGGUCGGGGCUCAACCCCAGAAAGGCUGUGGAAACUGAACAGCUAGAGUACGGUAGGGGCAGAGGGAAUUCCCAGUGUAGCGGUGAAAUGCGUAGAGAUUGGGAAGAACACCGGUGGCGAAAGCGCUCUGCUAGGCCGAAACUGACACUGAGGGACGAAAGCUAGGGGAGCGAAAGGGAUUAGAUACCCCUGUAGUCCUAGCCGUAAACGAUGGGUACUAGGCGCUGACCGUAUCGACCCGGUCAGUGCCGGAGCUAACGCGUUAAGUACCCCGCCUGGGGAGUACGCUCGCAAGAGUGAAACUCAAAGGAAUUGACGGGG